rnacentral:rRNA from 1 species
UCCGUAGGUGGAUAAUUAAGUCAGAGGUGAAAUCCUGCAGCUCAACUGUAGAAUUGCCUUUGAUACUGGUUAUCUUGAGUUAUUAUGAAGUAGGUAGAAUAUGUAGUGUAGCGGUGAAAUGCAUAGAUAUUACAUAGAAUACCAAUUGCGAAGGCAGAUUACUAAUAAUCAACUGACACUGAUGGACGAAAGCGUGGGGAGCGAACAGGAUUAGAUACCCUGGUAGUCC